UACGUAGGUGGCAAGCGUUGUCCGGAUUUACUGGGCGUAAAGAGCGCGCAGGCGGUCGUGCAAGUCGCGUGUGAAAGCCCCCGGCUCAACUGGGGAGGGUCACGCGAUACUGCUCGACUUGAAGGCAGGAGAGGGAAGUGGAAUUCCCGGUGUAGUGGUGAAAUGCGUAGAUAUCGAGAGGAACACCAGUGGCGAAGGCGAGUCCCUGGACAACACCUGACACUGAGGCACGAAAGCCGGGGGAGCAAACAGG
rnacentral:rRNA from 1 species